UACGUAGGGACCAAGCGUUGUCCGGAAUCAUUGGGCGUAAAGCGCGCGUAGGCGGCCCGGUAAGUCCGUUGUAAAAGUCGAAGGCUCAACCUUCGAAAGCCGAUGGAUACUGCCGGGCUAGAGUACGGAAGAGGCGAGUAGAAUUCCUGGUGUAGCGGUGAAAUGCGCAGAUAUCUGGAGGAACACCGGUGGCGAAGGCGGCAUCCUGGACCGGUAUUGACGCUGAGGAGCGAAAGCCAGGGGAGCAAACGGG
rnacentral:rRNA from 1 species